UACGUAGGGUGCAAGCGUUGUCCGGAAUUAUUGGGCGUAAAGAGCUCGUAGGCGGUGUGUCGCGUCGGCCGUGAAAACCUGCAGCUUAACUGUGGGCUUGCGGUCGAUACGGGCAUCACUGGAGUUCGGCAGGGGAGACUGGAAUUCCUGGUGUAGCGGUGAAAUGCGCAGAUAUCAGGAGGAACACCGGUGGCGAAGGCGGGUCUCUGGGCCGUAACUGGACGCUGAGGAGCGAAAGCGUGGGGAGCGAACAGG
rnacentral:rRNA from 1 species